rnacentral:lncRNA from 1 species
UCCUUUUUGAUUUAAAAAUUCCGAAAAAUAGUUUCGAGCUUUAAAAUAUUUUUCCAAAUUAUUUUCAAGGCUCGAUAAUUUUUUAUGAAUGAUUUCAAGUCCAAUUUCAAGUAUUUGGGACUUGAUUAUUAAUUCGAAAAGUGAUUCUUUUAUCGAUGUUAAUUCCGAAAAAUGUUUAAAAAUUCCAGAAAAUUUUCGAAAAAUCAUUUUCAAUUCGAUAUUUGAUUUGACAUCAAUUGGGAUGGGAAACCUUAUGAGAAAUGCAUUGUCAGCUCUCUGUCUGAUGCAUUAUUAUACCGAAAGGGAGUUAGAAAACGGUUUUGAGCAUAACUUUUGAUCCG